GACCCUGGUCACACACAUACUCUCCCGCUACAGCUCCGAGGGGGAAGUACACCAGCUGACCAGCACCCCGGAGCCAUUAAGAUUCUGGAGGGGAGGAAGUACCUUCUGGAAGUGCAUUCAACGACAGCUAAGGACUGGAGUUAAGGGACAGGAGAGUGCUUUAUGAGAUAGCUCUCGUAGCCAGUUACAUUUCUGUAGCCCGGUUAGACCCGUAUGUGCCUAGGGCUCAUCUCACAAAUUCAUCUUCUACCACCGAAAUGAAUUAAGAAUUAGUUUUCACCUGCCCCAAUUGUGAACAGAGUGAACUUUAAAAAAGCGUGAGACAUUUCUGCAUCAAUGGGGAAGCAAGUGUAAGGCAGAUACUGUUUCACUGAGCUCUCAAGGAAUAAUAAAGGGUAUCCUGCCCUUCUUCAGAUUAAGGGUUCUGAACCAGAUUUUAAACCACCUAAUUUCCUGAGAGACAGUAUGGCACAACGAGUAAGAGAAUGAGUUAAGAAAAUAAGGCCUCCUACGGUUCAAAUUCUGGCUCCAUAGGUUGGAAGGCUAGGCCAUAGCCCUGACUCGCGUCCUCCUCUGCCCUCAGCAGUGUCUGUUUUGAUGGAGGAGUGGGAAGAAGCAGCCGGCACUACAGAAGAUUCUCAAGACACCAUAGGGAGGCCAAAGGACGGAGGGCUGGGGAGGCUAUUACUACUGUGGAAAACAGUUACCUUUAAUCCGAGCAGUCAACAGCACUUUCUUAUUAUAGCACAUGUCCAUGUAAGCUUAGACAUAA